GGGUUGUAGCUCAGUUGGUUAGAGCGCCUGCCUGUCACGCAGGAGGUCGCGAGUUCAAGUCUCGUCAAUCC
rnacentral:tRNA from 1 species